AACCGCGGUUAUACGAAAGGCCUAAGUUGAUAAAAUACGGCGUAAAGAGUGGUUAAGGAAAUAACCCACUAAAGUUAAAACUCCUCCUGGUCGUUUUAAACUUAUGAGAUUUGAGAGAAUCAUCCACGAAAGUGACUUUAAUAUCCUGAUGCCACGAAAGCUAGGGAA
rnacentral:rRNA from 2 species